AUUGAACGCUGGCGGCAGGCCUAACACAUGCAAGUCGAACGAGUGGCGGACGGGUGAGUAAUGUAUGGGAAACUGCCCGAUGGAGGGGGAUAACUACUGGAACCGGUAGCUAAUACCGAAUACUAUCGGAUUGGCCCAGAUGGGAUUAGCUAGUCGGUGGGGUAACGGCUCACCUAGGCGACGAUCCCUAGCUGGUCUGAGAGGAUGACCAGCCAGACUGGAACUGAGACACGGCCCAGACUCCUACGGGAGGCAGCAUUGGGGAAUAUUGCACAAGGGGCGCAAGCCGGAUGCAGCCAGGCCGCGUGGAUGAAGAAGGCCUUAGGGUUGUAAAGUACUUUCAGCGAGGAGGCGUUACUCGCAGAAGAAGCACCGGCUAACUCCGUGCCAGCAGCCGCGGUAAUUC
rnacentral:rRNA from 1 species